rnacentral:rRNA from 1 species
UUUUAGUAUUGGAGAUUUUGUUACUUUGAGUAAAUUAGAGUGUUCAAAGCAAACAGUUAAAGCAUUUUUAUUGCGUUUGAAUACUACAGCAUGGAAUAACAAAAUUGAACAAGUCAGAAUUCUGUUCUUUUUUCUUAUUUUGGCUUAGUUACGAUUAAUAGGAGUAGCUUGGAGGCAUUUGUAUUCAGAUGUCAGAGGUGAAAUUCUUAGAUUUUCUGGAGACAAACAACUGCGAAAGCAUUUGCCUAAAAUACUUCCAUUAAUCAAGAACGAAAGUUAAGGGAGUGAAGACGAUCAGAUACCGUCGUAAUCUUAACCAUAAACUAUGCCGACUAGGUUUUGGAUGAAAGAUUUUUAAAUAAGAAAAUUCCUUUCGGGGAAAUUUCUUAGAUUGCUUCCUUCAGUACCUUAUGAGAAAUCAAAGUCUUUGGGUUCUGGGGGGAGUAUUCGCGCAAGCGAGAAAGUUAAAAGAAUUGACGGAAGGGCACCACCAGGCGUGGAGCUUGCGGCUUAAUUUGACUCAACACGGGGAAACUCACUAGUUUAAGACAAGAGUAGGAUUGACAGAUUAAUAGCUCUUUCUUGAUUUCUUGGAUGGUGAUGCAUGGCCGUUUUUAGUUCGUGAAUAUGAUUUGUCUGGUUAAUUCCGAUAACGAACGAGAUCUUAACCUGCUAAUUAGCGGCGAAUACGUUAUAUUCUUAUGUGAAAUUGAAUAUAGCUGAAUUUGCUUAUUUUGAAGAAUACACUAAGAUACCAAUAAAUGUGUCCUUUU